rnacentral:lncRNA from 1 species
GUUAUUUGAGGCAUGAAUGUCUCCCCUAAAGCUGCAGCAAUCAUGUGGCAUUAGACACUUCCGGAAUCCUAUAGCCAACUUGAAAAAUCCCAGACCCCUUUUUUCCCUAAUUUUUGCUCUGAUCUGUAAUUUUAUCCACAUUUGCACUAGUUUGAGCAUUCUGGCUCUCCCAUCUGAAAGCCUGCAAUUACUAUAUAAUUCUUCGCAAUUUCACAUGUCCUAAUAUGGACUGUAAUUUUUGCGCAAGACAAUUUCCUGCUAUUUCAAGCAUCAACAUUGUCAAAGUUGUAUGUACAUAAUAAAUGGGAAUAUCAAUGCAUAGUUUUUAGCAUAACAUCUUGACUCCUCGAUAAUUAUAUCCGUUCGGAGCCUACGCAGAAUUAGCCUGAAUUGCAUGGUAACUGCUGCUGCUUUAAAAUUUUUAAAAAUUACUCAUAAUUUUCCCAAAGAUUACCAAGAUCUCGAGUGCACAAUGUCAUCAGCGUAAUGAAGAGUAAACAUUUAUGCUAAUAAUCUGCAAUUUUUUUCAUCAGCUAUAAAGACAGAGGCUAUAUAGCAGAAAAUUUCAGUCAUAUUCUGCAAGAGCAGAGCUGCAAAAAGGCUGCUGCGCUCAGAGGCAUGUGCAUCUCUGGGGGAUCUCAAUCCACAUUUGCACUCUCAGGAUAUUAUUAUUGUGCUCGGCUUCUCUCUUUUUUUUUUUUUUUUUUUUUUUUUUUUUUUUUUUUUUUUUUUUUUUUUUUCUCUCUCUCCUUCUUCCCCUUUCUCUCUCCCUCCCCGGUCCCUCUCUCCCUGUCUCUCAGGCUCUCUCCCUCCUGUAACUUUUCGUAGCAAAAAGCCGCGUUCGGUCCUUUGGUUUGUUGUAAAGCAGAGACUUGUGCCCAGAGCCUCAGGGAGUGAGGCGGAAGUUUCAGGGGCCGCUCUGUGCUCUGCAAUUAGAUUGACACAUGUACAACAUCCCCAGCCAUUCAAGGGGGUUCGCAGGGACACUCCAAAGGGAUUUUUUUUUUUCCUUUUUCUUUUUUUGGGUGGAAGAUAUUAAAGAGGUAUCUGUUGUUUGGCAAUUUUGCUAAGUCUGUCUUCAUUACUUCAACAUUGUGCAUUUGCUAAUUUGGAAGCCCCUUCCUAUUGACAGCUCUGCUCCAUACACCUGCAAGCAAUUUGCAGAGCUCCAAUAUAGGAGAAUUGCAGAGAUGGCAGCUCGCACCUAUUUUAUUUUUUUUUCUUCGCUUUUCUCAAUGCACAGCAAAUUUGGCUUUCAGUGCGUUAUCUCUUUUGUUAAUGCAAAAAGAUUCCCUGGGCGAAAAAAUUGCUCAUAAUUACCAGAGAGAUGGGGAAACUGCAUUAGAAUAAAUAAACCUGAAAUUACUGUAAUUAUGUUGUG